UACGGGGGGGCAAGCGUUGUUCGGAAUUACUGGGCGUAAAGGGCUCGUAGGCGGCCAACUAAGUCGGAUGUGAAAUCCCCGGGCUCAACCCGGGAACUGCGUCCGAUACUGGCAGGCUUGAAUCCGGGAGAGGGAUGCGGAAUUCCAGGUGUAGCGGUGAAAUGCGUAGAUAUCUGGAGGAACACCGGUGGCGAAGGCGGCAUCCUGGACCGGCAUUGACGCUGAGGCGCGAAGCCAGGGAGCGAAACGGG
rnacentral:rRNA from 1 species